UUUGACCAAUAUAAAAGGCAAUGCCUGCCCAGUGACCAUGUGUUCAACGGCCGCGGUAUUCUGACCGCGCGAAGGUAGCGUAAUCACUUGUUUUUUAAAUAAAGACUAGUAUGAACGGCCGCACGAGGACUUAACUGUCUCCUUGGUCCAAUCAGUGAAACUGAUCUCCUCGUGCAGAAGCGAGGAUACUCUCAUAAGACGAGAAGACCCUAUGGAGCUUUAAACUUUAUAUCAACUAUCUUCAUUAUAUCUCUAAGGAACUAACACCCAAUUAAAUUUUCUUGAUAAAAGUUUUGGGUUGGGGCGACCAUGGAGAAAAAGAAAUCCUCCCUGAUGAUAACCUAACCAAGAGCCACAGCUCUAAGUAUUAAGACACUUAACUCCUAUUGACCCAUUUUAUGAUCAACGAACCA
rnacentral:rRNA from 1 species